rnacentral:lncRNA from 1 species
UCAGGGUGAAGUGCAGUGGUGUGAUCUCAGCUCACUGCAACCUCUACCUCCCAGGUUCAAGAGAUUCCUCUGUAGUAGAGACUGGGUUUAUCCAUGUUGGCCAGGCUGGUCUCCAACUCCUGACCUCAGGUGAUCCACCUGCCUCAGCCUCUCAAAGUGCUGGGAUUACAGGUGUGAGCCACUGCGUCAGACUGGGAAAGGUCAGCUAAAUUUGCUAGCGCCAUGGUUAGAAGAUUGGGAACGUCAUGUUCUCUGGAUUUCUCAACUGUGACACAAACACACCCAGGGUGCAGUAUCCACCUAUAUCAAGACCUGCGGACUAUGGAGUCAAGGGAAAACAAUGCAAACAUAAACUUCAUGCUGCCUGGUGUGCCAUAAAUAGAAAAGUGUUUUUCCUUGAACCUAAGAAUCUCAUACCUUCUCACAGUAUCUAUGAAACUUUCCAACUAAUUUGUCAGGUUAAAUCCUAGUAAAAUAUCAGACCUUGCAAAGUUCUUGACAUAUCAAAUCUUUGCCUGAUACCUUGUGUAUGAAUCUUAUUGGAGACAAAUACAAUAAAUUUGAAUCAAAAAGUAGUAAUUGAGGCCAAGGAUGUUGAAUCUUGCAAGAAGGUUGAAGUUUGCAUCUUUAGUAACUAAAAUAGUGUCUGAGAACACUGAGUUAAAAACAAAAAAAUUUUAAAAAGCCAAUCAACCACAACAAAUGUAUUGAAUAAGCAAAUGAAUUAGAAUUCAAGUAUUUUGUCUCUAUUUUAAAUGUUCUCCUACUGCACUAUAAAUACUAGUUAGACUUAUAAAAUAUAGUUUAAUUAUUUUAGUAAACUUAACACUUAGGAAAAGUCUAUCACUACUUGGACCUGUUAAUUCUAACUGCAUGUUGAUAGAGGGUUCUUGAUUCAUUUUGCAUGCCAAAAACAUCAUAACUGGAACAUUUUAUUUUUGAAAAACAACACAAAAAUACGCAUCUAAAAUUUUCCUUUGCAUAUAAAAUGAACUCAAUGUUAAUACUCUCAUGUUUUCAAUAUAAUCAUUUUAAUAUAAUCAUUUCAAUACAUAUUUUAUAUUUUUAACUCAUAUGUAUAAGUGUUUAUUCACAUAGUAGCAAAGUCAGUAAAGUGCUGAAGAUGUGCCUUUUACUGCUUUUUCUUUGUGUACUUUUGCACUGAAAUUAAAUUGAAUGGGAAUUGUGUUUUUGUCAUAUGUGAUUCAAAGUGGAAGUGAGCCCUCCAAAUAAAUAUGCCUGAGAGAUAAGUAAGCAUGUCAGUCAGGACACAAGAAGAAAAUAGAUUGUGGAAAGAGAACUAGACACGGUACUUAAAGAAUGUGAUUUCAUGAGAACUACUGAAAGAGCGAAACAAUAAGAAUUUAUAUUGAAUCAUGAAGAACACUUGCAAAGAAUGGUGAAAAUACUGAUGAGAUUUACAAAGGAGGUCACUGAAGAGAGAAAUGAGGCUUGCUCAGAACAAUGAAUUUUUUCUUGCAAAUGAAUUGUGUUCUGCAAAGAGAUAGUCACUUCAUAUAUCAAAACAGUGGUGAAUGAGUUGUCUCCUUGCCAUCACCAAAGGACCCCAGAUAGUAAACCUUAAGAUAAAAGGAGAUAAGGAGGAGGAAGAGGAAAAGGAGCAGUCCUCCUGUAAGGACUCUGCCAAACCCCUUGGGAAUGUGAAACAGCCCUGGGAAUCUUAAGGCAUAUCAGAAAGUGCAGCUUCUUUGCCAAAGCAAAGUAUGGAAUUGUUUGGGGAAAAAAAGUUGCAAAUGAAGUAAAUCAGUGGGAAACAGAAAAUAUAAACCGUUGUUUUUAAAAUGUCAUCAACCAGUAGAGUCUAGAAAGACAAAAGAUACAAGACCUCUAGAAAUGAGGUCUGGUAAGAACUUUGUUAGUCCACAUCAUACAGUUGGUUUUCUGCUUGGGAGUGAAUCUAGCCCAGUAUACUAGGAUCUACCUGCUUAGAAACUUAUUUUCCAAACACAAAGAGUAAAAAAGACCCAGUAAAGGAUAUAUUAAUUAUAAUAAUCAAUGUCAUAAUAUCUUUGCAAGUGUGUAAAUCUUUUGGUAAGUAAGUAACGUGUUAAGUACAGGUAAUACAGAUUCAAAAAUAUUAAAAUGCCUUCCAUAAUCCCAUUGAUAGAGGCAGAAGCCAGAGAAAUUCUAGGUGGACAUGGGUGGGUCUCCAGCAAAACCCCACCUUCAAGCUGAAAAGACUGAAACCCAUGGCCCAAAGUGAGAAUUUCUAUCCCUGUUUGCUGGCUCUCUCCCAACUGGUUCUUUCUAAAUAAUGUCUUUUCACAAAUCUAAUGUUGCCUUUUCCAAAAGUAUCUAUGCACCACCAGCAGCCCCCACCCUGUGCCUGUAACGACCCCAGACUCAGUCAGUAGAGAGGGGGAAGCAGCUUGACUGGAAAGAAUCAACUUGAUUUGAGGGGGACGGCUGGACUUUAGAGGAGAGAUGGCUUAACUUUGGAGAAGAACUGGCCAGAUAUAGCUGGACUUCAGGGAAGAUUAUCCACCUGUCCUUCCACCCCUCCAGCUCCCCUCUCUGCUGAGAGCCAUUUUCAUUGCUAAAUAAAAUUCUCCACCUCCACCAUACUUCAACUGUCCAUGUGACCUCAUUCCUCUUAGAUCCCGGACAAGAGCUUGGGACCCACUGAGCAUGGGUACCCAAAAAAGGCUGUUACACCUGCCCCUUUGCCAUCACUGUCAGAGGGCAGCUGCCCCACCUGACAAGGCAAGGUACCCACUGAGCUGAUAGCAUAUUGCUGUCCAUGGAUGGUGGAGCUAAGAGAGCAUUGUAACACACACUCUGGGGCUUCGGGGGUCACAGGCACCCCCACUUGGGCUCCACCAUGGAGUCCGCACAGAGCCUGCUCUUGCCAGUGCCCAAAAUGGCCAGCCAGAUCCCAUGCUCACUUGCUCACUCUCUCCUUCCCAUAAGAGGUUGAAUGCAGCUGUUACAAUCCCCUGUUGUAAGUCCAACCCAGGGGUAGAGAAAAAUUCCUGCAUCACCAUGAUAUAGAGAUAAUGGAAUGAAAUGUUAAAGUCCCAUUUGUCUUUUCCCAACAAUUUCAUUGCAGUUGUGCUUCAGGCACUUGGUUGAUUAUGGGGGAUAAAAUGACAAACAAUAUAGCUAUACCCAUAAGGAGCACAUAUUUUAUUAAAGAAAUAAGAAUUAGUUACAGGAACAACAACAACAAAAACCUAGAGAUUUAAAUGUGCUGUGAAAGGCACUGGUUGAAUGUUGCCUAGAAAUUGUUAAUGUUGCUGAAUAAAAAGUUACUUUAAAUGGGAUAGGAUAAGAAUAUUUCUCUGAGGUGGGGAGUUCUAAAUUGAGUCCUAAGGGAUGAAAAAAUCCACGUGAGGAAGCACGGAGAAGAAUAUUUUAGGCACAGGAAACACACAGGGUGACUAUAGAAAAUAAAAAUGACAGUGUCACGAGAUUAGGUUGGAGAGAGAAAAAGUGCAAAAAAUAUUGCAGCGUCUUGUAGACCAAUCAUGAAUGAUUGAUUAAUCUACCCAAUUAUUCAAUUAAUGUUUAUUGAGAACCUAUUAUGUGCCAGGAACUAUUCUAGGCAUUUGGGAAUAUUCUCUAUGGAGUUUACGUUUUACAUGAGAGAAAACUGACAGUAAAUGCAAAAGAUAAGAACAACACUUAGUAUAUUGAUAGGUGAUCAAUGCUUCGGAGAGAACUAAAACCAUGAAGGGAAAGAGGGAGUAGCUCUAUGGAGAAUGAAUUAUAAUUUUUAUUAUGAUCUAAGUAGAUAUUACAGAAAAGGUAAGAAUAAAGGCUUGAACUGAUUUGGGGGUAAUGUUCUGUGUUACAUUUUAAACAUGCUAAUGAAAUUGCCCUUGCAAAAUUAUGACAGUAAGAGAAAUCUGACAGAGUUGACCCUAGCUUGCUUCUGACCUCCAAGCUGUCCUUGGUUAUUCCUAUAAAUAGGCCAAGCUAACUUGGGGAGAAAUUUAGUUUAUAGGUUAACUUUGAAACAACAAUAAUAAUAAUCCCUAUCAAAAACUAAUUCCCUCCCUCUUCCUGCAGCUGAAAGUGCUUUGUAAGACUGAAGAGACAUUAUGAGAUACAUGUAGUUUCUAUAGUUCCUUACUGCUCAGGGGCCAUGUGGCCAGAGGUCACAAGAUUUGUGACCUUCCCAAUUGCUUUUAUGGAUAACAUCACUACUGUAGAACCCAAGAUUUUUUGUGCGAGAUAUUUUUUAGAGUGACCUCACCCAGACUCCUGACUCAGGACUCAACUGAUCCCGUGGCCACACUCAGAGGCAGAUGCAAAUGGUUUUCCACACCUCCAUGAUUUCAUCUUCAACCAAGUAGCAGUACCCAUUCCCUAGUCCCCUGCUUUCCCGAGUGUACAUAAAAACUCCUAACUUUGGAGCCUUUGGGAAGACUGAUUUGAGUAAUAACUCCAGUUUUCCCUUGGGGACUGGCCUUGCAUCAGUUAAAUUCUUUCUCUACUACAACACUGUGAUCUUAGUGGAUUGAUUUUGUCUGUGCAGUGAGCAGAAAGGACCUGGAAGAUGAUUACAUUAAGUUGAAAUUAUUCUUGGAUACCAACUGAAAAUUAGCUGGCUAUAGUAAAAAUUUAAUUAUAAGUUAUGGAAAUUUUCAAGAUCUUUUCACUGUUUUAUGAAAGAAUAGCCUGGUAGAUGUUUGGAGUAUUGACAAGAGUGGACUUUGAAGGAUGUGAUCAUGAAAGAUUAUUAAUGCUGUUUGAGAUUAAAUAUGCUGGCUUGGACAGUGGUGGCAAUAGAGUUGGAGAAGAAACAGAUUUUAAAUAUAAUUUAGAAGAAGAAACUACUGAAGACACGAUAGAUUAGAUAUAAGGCACAAAAAUAGGAAAUAUUGAAGAAUGCUUUGGAAGUUUUUGGUUUGAAGAAAUCAAUGUUUAUUCAGGGCAUGACUAAACUAUUAGAAGGUGAAGAAUACUAAAGAUAUAGAUUCUGUUUGGGGUGUAGUGUGGGAGGGAGCUAAAGCCAAGAGUUUCUCUUUAAAAUUUACAAAAUAACACAUAAAAGUGAGUUGGUUAGUCAGCAAGUUACUGACAACAACUCUUUUUAAGCUCUUGUUUUGUGUCAGACACUGUUAUAGUCUCUAAAGGACACAAGAAAACAAGGUAGAGAGAUUUCUUGGCAUCUCUAAGCCUCAUAUUCACUCUUCUGUAAAACUGGUGUCUACUAAAUGAAGUUGUGAGGAUUAUAUAAAUAAAUAACCAUACUUUUCCAUAGUAAUUAUAUUUGCUAAAAGGUGACCACUGUAGAAUAAAACUGAGAGUGCACAUUACAGUUGGAAGAAUACAUUUGAUUGAAAUUUGAAUGUUAAGUAAGUAAUUGUAUGCAAACAGUUAAAGACAACUCUUCCUGCAAAGUAAAAUAUUCUAAGGGUUUGAGGUUCACUGGGAAGAACCUGGGGUCCCAUAAAACAUAUUUUAAAAAAUUGAAGUCUAAAUCUAUGAUUUAUUACUUAGCAAGUGGCGGUUAAUUGGCUUGGCUCAAACAUUCUGUUUUCUACCUUUGCUUUAAUUUCCUCAAGUAAGUGCACUAAAUUUCCCACACUAAGAUAUUAGAAAAUAAAGUUAAUCUACACUCCUAAGGAGAAUGAAAUUAAUUUAGUCACCAAAAUUUAGUAAUGUUGUUUCAGUGCUGUCAGAUUGUAUUUUGAAAUCUGUCAAAUUUCCAUGCAUCAGUGAUCAAAAGCGACCCCUCCAGUUUGAUUUCUCUAAUAUACAGGUAAAUUUAUUGACUGUUUUUCUUUAAAAUGUCUUUUUUUCUCUUCUUUUAUGUUUUGUUGUUGUUUUCCAGUGAACAAUUUACUAUUUUAAACACACUUGCUGUUACCAAUGUUGAAAGCAAAAAUUAUGGCUUCAACUACUUUUUAUUUUUCAGUGAUAGGUUUAUAUAUUUUCAUUUAGAGAAAAGGAAGUUGCCUGUUAUUGCCUACCAUUGAAAAGCAGAAUAUGAGUCUAGAUUUAACAACUGUAUAAAUCUACAAAGCAUCAUUCUUUUUGGUGACACUAUUAGUUAAGUUGAUAGGUUGGCUAUCAUGACUCAUUUUCCAUUUGUUGAGUGGGUUGAGGAUUUCUUUUUGGAAAAACACUAAAAAGGGAAUAUUUUAAAAAUGUGAUUUUCUUCAUAUUUUUCCUGAUUGAUUGCACAGCUUUUUCUCUGUGGCUUCCUCCUCAUCCAACAUGUUUCAGCUUUAACAGCAUCUUUUUAAGAGAGGCUUUCACUAAUCACUCUGCAGAAUUAGCUCUCUUUAUACUGUGCUCUAUCCAUAUACCUUGUUUAUUCCCUCAACAACACUCAUCAAAAUUUCUAAUUAUGUUCUUAUUUUUUUAUCUACUUCACUUUAUUAUAAUUUCUACAAGGUCAGAGACCAUUCCUGCUUUAUGCGCUUACUUAAAACAUUUAUAAUUUUGCAUAGGAAUCUUUUCAGCUAGCUCUCUAGCUCCUGUCAGUCCAGUGCUGUGGUGACCAGGUCCUCAUAGGCUUGUACCAACUUCAUAAAAGCACCUCAUCUGGGGCCCAUAUCCAUCACUUUCCUUCUUAUUAUGUAGUUUUCUUAUGCACCUGAGAGAGACGUGCCCGGUAAACCCACUUAGCCCUUACGCACACAAAACUUCAAACUGUGGAGAAGUCAAUGCUUGUGAAUUUCUGGAUCAAUGGGGAAUAAGAGCAAAGGACAAAUGCUUGUCCCUUUAAUCUUCUGACUGGACAGUUUUGAAAUAUAUGUCACAAAGCUCCUCAGAAGUCCUGAAGAACUGAACAUGAAUUGCUAUAAUCUGUGGCCAACUCGAUAAUGCAUUCAUCCAUUAACCUUUUCUUCUUCAUCUCAUUUUCCUUUUCCCUCAUCCUCACUCCCUGGUAUAACAUUACCAAACAAACUAACUUCUUGCAAACCAUUGUCUCAGGCUCAGUUUUUAUGAUACCCUAAGAUAGGCUAUUUCAAUUUAAAUUAAUUAAAAUUAAAUUAAAAUUAAAAAUUAGUUUAUCAACAAAAUCAAUGCACAAAAAUUACUAGCAUUCCUAUACAUCAACAACAGCCAAGUCAAGAGACAAAUCAGGAAUUCAAUACCAUUCACAAUUAACACAGAAAGAAAGAAAUACCCAGGAAUAUAGCUAACCAGGGAGAUGAAAGAUGUCUAUAAGGAGAGCUAAAAAACUGCUCAAAAAAUCAAAUGGAAAAACAAAAAAAACAAAUGGAAAAACAUUCUAUGCUCAUGAUAGGAAGAAUCAAUAUUGUUAAAAUGCCCAAACUGCUUAAAACAAUUUGUAGAUUCAAUGCUAUUCCUAUCAAACAACCAAUAAAUUCCUCACAGAACUGGAAAAAACCCCUAUUUUAAAAUUCAUAUGGAACAAAAAUGAGCUGAAUAACCAAGCCGAUCCUAGGCAAAACGAACAAAGCUGGAGGCAUCAGAUUACCUGAUUUCAAACUAUACCGUAGAGCUACAGUAACCAAAACAGCAUGGUACUGGUACAAAAACAGUCAUAUAGACUAAUGGAACAGAAUAGAGAGCCCAGAAAUAAGGCCACACACCUAAAAACAUCUGUUCUUUGACAAAGCUGACAAAAACAAGCAAUGGGAAAAAGGAUUCCCUAUUCAACAAAUGAUGCUGGAAUAACUGGCAAGCCAUAUGCAAAAGAUUGAAACUGGACCACUUCUUUAUAUCACAGACAAAAAUUAACUCAAGAUGGAUUAAAGACUUAAAUGUAAAACCCAAAACUAUAAAAACUCUGGACGACAACCUAGGCAAUACCAUACUGGACGUACAAAUGAGUAAAAAUUUCAUGAUGAACAUUCCAGGAACAAUUACAACAGAAGCAAAAAUUGACAAAUGCAAUCUAAUUAAACUAAAGAGCUUCUGCGUAGCAAAAGAAACUAUGAACAAAUGGACAACUGACAGAAUGGAAAAAAAAUUUGUAAACUAGCCUCUGAUAACAGUCUAAUAUCCAGUAUCCAUAAGGAACUUAAACACAUUAAGCAAAAAUUGACAAAUGGGAUCUAAUUAAACUAAAGAGCUGCUGCAUAGCAAAAGAAACUAUGAACAGAUGGACAACUGACAGAAUGGAAGAAAAUUUUUGUAAACUAGCCUCUGAUAACAGUCUAAUAUCCAGUGUCCAUAAGGAACUUAAACACAUUUGCAAGAAAAAAAUCAAACAAUCUCAUUAAAAAAUAGGCAAUACGGCCAGGCACAGUGGCUUACACUUGUAAUCCCAGUACUUUGGGAGGCCGAGGCAGGUGGAUCACGAGAUCAGGAGAUCGAGAACAUCCUGGCUAACAUGGUGAAACCCCAUCUCCACUAAAAAUACAAAAAAUUAGCCGGGUGUGGUGGUGGGCGUCUGUAGUCCCAGCUACUCAGGAGGCUGAGGCAGGAGAAUGGUGUGAAUCUGGGAGGCGAAAGUUGCAGUGAGCGAGGUGGAGCCAUUGCACUCCACUCUGGGUGACAGAGCAAGACUCUGUCUCAAAAAAAAAAAAAAAAAAAAAGUGGCAAAGGACAUGAACAGAACAGACACUUUUCAGAAAAAGACAUACAUGUGGGCAACAAUCCUAUUAAAAAAUGCUCAACAUCACUGAUCAUUAACGAAAUGCAAAUCAAAACCACCAUGAGAUACCAUCUCACACCAGUCAGUGUUUUAUUUAUUUAUUAAAAAGUAAAACAAUAAUGUGUUGGUGAGGUUGCAGAGAAAGAGGACACUUAUAAACUGUCGGUGGAAGUGUAAAUUAUUUCAACCAUCGUGGAGAACAGUGUGGUGAUUCCUCUGAUACCUAAAAACAGAACUAUCAUUCAACCCAGCAAUCCUAUUACUGGGUGUACAUCCAAAGGAAUAAAAAUCAUUCUUUUAUAACGACAUACGCAUGUAUAUGUUCAUUGCAGCACUUUCUACAGUAACAAAGACAUGGAAUCACCCUAAAUGUCCAUCAAUGGUAGACUGAAUAAAGAAAAUGUGAUGUAUAUACAUCAUAGAAUAUGCUGCCAUAACAAAGAUAGAUUAUGUCCUUUGAAGCAAUAUGAUUGAAGCUAUAGGCCAUUAUGCUUAGCAAACUAACACAGGAAAAGAAAACCAAAUACUCAUGGUCUCACUUAUAAGUGGGAGCUAAAAGAUGAGGACACAUGGACACAUAGAGGAGAACAACACACAGUGGGUACUUUCAGAGGGUAGAGGGUGGGAGGAGGGAGAGGAUCUGGAAAAAAAAGUAAUGGCUACGAGGCUUAAUAAAUGGGUGAUGAAAUAAUCUGCACAACAAAUCCUGAUGGCCCAAGUGUAUCUAUGUAACAAACCUGCCU